rnacentral:rRNA from 1 species
GUGUCAGCAGCCGCGGUAAUACGGGGGGGGCAAGCGUUGUUCGGAAUUACUGGGCGUAAAGGGUUCGUAGGUGGCCCACUAAGUCAGACGUGAAAUCCCUCAGCUUAACUGGGGAACUGCGUCUGAUACUGGAGGGCUCGAGGACAGGAGAGGAACGCGGAAUUCCAGGUGUAGCGGUGAAAUGCGUAGAUAUCUGGAGGAACACCGGUGGCGAAGGCGGCGUUCUGGACUGUUUCUGACACUGAGGAACGAAAGCCAGGGGAGCAAACGGGAUUAGAAACCCCGGUAGUCC